rnacentral:rRNA from 1 species
UACGGAGGGAGCAAGCGUUACUCGGAAUUAUUGGGCGUAAAGGGCGCGUAGGCGAUCCGAAUAAGUCUCGUGUGAAAGCCCAGUGCUUAACGCUGGAAGUGCACGGGAAACUGUUGGAUCUGAGUUCCGGAGAGGAAAGCAGGAUUCCCGGUGUAGCGGUGAAAUGCGUAGAUAUCGGGAGGAAUACCAGUGGCGAAGGCGGCCUUCUGGACGGAUACUGACGCUGAGGCGCGAAAGCCAGGGGAGCAAACGGG